rnacentral:rRNA from 1 species
GACGAACGCUGGCGGCGUGCUUAACACAUGCAAGUCGAACGGAAAGGCCCUGCUUUUGUGGGGUGCUCGAGUGGCGAACGGGUGAGUAACACGUGAGUAACCUGCCCUUGACUUUGGGAUAACUUCAGGAAACUGGGGCUAAUACCGGAUAGGAGCUCCUGCUGCGUGGGGGGGGUUGGAAAGUUUCGGCGGUUGGGGAUGGACUCGCGGCUUAUCAGCUUGUUGGUGGGGUAGUGGCUUACCAAGGCUUUGACGGGUAGCCGGCCUGAGAGGGUGACCGGCCACAUUGGGACUGAGAGACGGCGCAGACUCCUACGGGAGGCAGCAGUGGGAAAUAUUGCACAGUGGGCGGAAGCCUGAUGCGGCAACGCCGCGUGCGGGAUGACGGCCUUCGGGUUGUGAACCGCUUUCGCCUGUGACGAAGCGUGAGUGACGGUAAUGGGUAAAGAAGCACCGGCUAACUACGUG